CAUUGUCAUUGUCAACACAAUCAUCAUCCUUAUCAUUGUCAUAGAGAGAAAACUAUUCUUUUACCUUUUACUAAAGAAUACCGUGUGUAGGCAACUUAUAGCGACAUAUGCCAAUUUUUGAAACCUUACUUCUCGAUAAUAU
rnacentral:snRNA from 1 species